rnacentral:rRNA from 1 species
UACAGAGGGGGCAAGCGUUGUUCGGAAUUACUGGGCGUAAAGAGCGCGCAGGCGGUCGUGCAAGUCGCGUGUGAAAGCCCCCGGCUCAACUGGGGAGGGUCACGCGAUACUGUUCGACUCGAAGGCAGGAGAGGGUAGUGGAAUUCCCGGUGUAGUGGUGAAAUGCGUAGAUAUCGGGAGGAACACCAGUGGCGAAGGCGACUACCUGGCCUGUUCUUGACGCUGAGGCGCGAAAGCUAGGGUAGCAAACGGG